GAGUGUUGGGUUAAGUCCCGCAACGAGCGCAACCCCUACGUUUAGUUGCUAACGCGUGAAGGCGAGCACUCUAGACGAACUGCCGUUGACAAAACGGAGGAAGGUGGGAUGACGUCAAUCAUCAUGCCCCUUAUGUUCUGGGCUACACACGUGCUACAAUGGCCGGUACAGACGGACGCAAAGCCGCGAGGCGGAGCAAAUCCGAAAAAGCCGGUCUCAGUUCGGAUUGCAGGCUGCAAUUCGCCUGCAUGAAGUCGGAAUCGCUAGUAAUCGCAGGUCAGCAUACUGCGGUGAAUACGUUCCCGGGCCUU
rnacentral:rRNA from 1 species